UUGCAAAAUAACUAAAUUAAUUUUUAAAUAUUAAAUUUGAUAAAAUUGUUGAGUAAAUAUCGUUAGUUUGUUAUAGUUUUGUAAAUUAAAUCUCUUUAAACUUUUGUAAUUAAGCUUUUAAAUCUAACCAGAUUCAUGAAAAGGUAACGUUUUAUUGGUUUUACCGGUAAUUGAAAAUAUUAUGAUCGAUGAUUUGACAAGGACGAAA
rnacentral:lncRNA from 1 species